rnacentral:rRNA from 1 species
CCUACGGGAGGCAGCAGUGAGGAAUAUUGGUCAAUGGACGAGAGUCUGAACCAGCCAAGUCGCGUGAAGGAUGACUGCCCUCUGGGUUGUAAACUUCUUUUAUAUGGGAAUAAAACGUUCCACGUGUGGGAUUUUGUAUGUACCAUAUGAAUAAGGAUCGGCUAACUCCGUGCCAGCAGCCGCGGUAAUACGGAGGAUCCGAGCGUUAUCCGGAUUUAUUGGGUUUAAAGGGAGCGUAGGUGGAUUGUUAAGUCAGUUGUGAAAGUUUGCGGCUCAACCGUAAAAUUGCAGUUGAAACUGGCAGUCUUGAGUACAGGAGAGGUGAGCGGAAUUCGUGGUGUAGCGGUGAAAUGCUUAGAUAUCACGAAGAACUCCGAUUGCGAAGGCAGUUCACUGGACUGCAACUGACACUGAGGCUCGAAAGUGUGGGUAUCAAACAGGAUUAGAUACCCGUGUAGUC